CAUUAACUCUCUCUCUUUCUGAUUGAGUGUAAGCUGCUAUAUGAAGGGAUCCACAAGACGAAUAAUUAAGGGGGACCUCUGAUCAACAGCCAGCAAGGAACUGAAUCCCUCAGACCCACAACUCACAAGAAACUGAAGCUGAAGCAGAUUCUUCCUCAGUCAAGCUUCAGCCUGAGAAUGAUGAAGAUGCUGGAAAACCGGCCCCGUCACACACCAAUGAAGCACGAAUAGCUGUGCCCAUCUCUCAGACAACUGGCUGAUGUCGGCAGCAGGAACUGAACUGAACAAACAGGGAGGAGAGUGACUUUGCUUCUCAUCAAAGGUUACAGAAUGAAGCCUGCAGCUCAGCUUUCCAUGAAGUCAUCUUUAUGGAUUUGGGGUUCUGUGGAACUGAUUAGUAGCUUUAAAUCCCCACUUGGCUUUGUCUUUGUAAGAAGAAAAUACCUAAUUGUGUCUCAGAUUCACAUUAACUUGGUCCAUAUCUAAUUGGAAAAAAUUUUUUGUUAUUCCACAGAAUCAUUGACUGUAAUAAUCCAUAGAUUCACCACAUCUAGGCUAUUAAAACCCACUCUACCAAACUCGGACAGCAUGACAAUUGUAGUUGAUUAAUACUGUGGUGCCAUUCUGAAUAAGCUUCCAAUCUUGUCCUAGUCAAAUUCAUUGCUUGCUACAUGGCUUUCCCGGUUAAUUCUGAAUUCAGCAAAGAGCUCCAAUGGGCUGAUGUUGAGCAGAGGUCAGCGGCUGCCAGAACUGUCAUACUUACUACUGUCUCCAUGAGCCAGACUGGAAAGGUACACAGAGCUGAGAGCUCAGGUAUACCCUGAUCCCACUAUCAGAUCUAACUGGGCUCCCACCAUCACCACCCUAUUGCAGAAAGAAAUCAUGAGUGACCACUCAGCUCAAGGCUUCUCUGCUGAUGCCAUCCAGUGAGUUUCCUGGCAGCCAUCUUUUUAUGAAAGAAUAGAGGUCAGCCUGACUGCACUUCCAGAUGAUUAGAGGUGAAUCCGCAGGAAAUUUAUGGUAGACGGUUAAUGGGAGGUGUUGAUUGUGUGUGUGUGUGAGAACACAGGUUGUAAAUUCUGGCUUUUCUUGCCUGCAGUUGGCUGUAACAGUGUAAUUACAUUAAACCAG
rnacentral:lncRNA from 1 species